rnacentral:tRNA from 1 species
GGUCGCUUAGCUCAGCUGGUUAGAGCGUGGUGCUAAUAACGCCAAGGUCGUGAGUUCGAUCCUCAUAGUGAUCA